UUUUCAGUAUAAUACUGUAGACACACGUUGAACACACAAAUAUUUCAACUGCUCUGGAACUGAAUUUAAAAUUAAACACACUUAUCGUUUCUCUCAAACAAAACACUCGAGCGUAAUGAACACCGAUCUCAAAUUGGUGCGCAAAACGCGCAACACAACGCGCUCCGCUUCCAGCACAGAGAUCACCGCCCACGGAUCGCCGAUGGAUCCAGUUGCUCCUGUGAUAAAGAUGGUCAGUUCGGCUGUCAAACAUCCGCUGGAGCACACCUGGACGCUCUGGUACUUGGAGAGCGAUCGCUCCAAGUCCUGGGAGGAGCUGCAAAACGAAAUCACUAGCUUCGACAUGGUCGAGGACUUCUGGAGCCUGUACACCCACAUCAAACCUCCAUCGCAGAUCCGAUUGUGCAGCGAUUAUUCUUUGUUCAAGAAGGGCAUACAACCCAUGUGGGAGGAUGAGGCCAACAAGUUUGGCGGACGCUGGGUAAUCACUACGAACCGUCGCAGCAAGCUGGAGCUGGACAAGCUCUGGCUGGAUGUGAUUCUAAUACUGAUUGGCGAAGCCUUCGAGCACACUGAAGAAAUCUGCGGCGCUGUCAUCAACAUGCGUGGCAAGCAAAGCAAAAUUUCUGUUUGGACUUGCAAUGGACAGAACGAGUCGGCAAUCGUUCAUAUUGGACUGAAGCUGCGCGAAUCGUUGAAACUGCCGCCGCUCCAGAUGAAGUACCAGCUGCACAAGGACUCGAUGACCAAACAAGGAUCGACGGUCAAAUCGGUUUACUCCCUCUAAACCAGCCGGCCGGUCGGCCUACCCAGUGGCUAAUGCCACUACCCGAAAAUUUUUGGUCUAAUUUUCGAAUUUCUGUGCGGUGUGCGUCCCGAGGGCUCCUUGGGCGCGGCUCUCUUCACGCUCCACAAAAUGUUAUGCAAACAUAUGCCGCACCGGAGCGCAAAUAAAAUGGUUUAUAUCCA